CACAGCAGAGAUAAAAAGCCAGUCUCCAUUAAUUCUCCACACACCAUCUCAAGUCUCUCUCCAGAGGUACUGAGAUGGAAUAAAUUAUUUUCGCCAGUUGGGAACUUGAUCCAGACAUUCUAUAUGUUGCAAGCCUUAAAAAAAUCAAGAACAAGAAAAUAUCCUGCACGAGGACGGGAGCGCGUGGUGUGAGCAGCUGGAGCACACUCUGGGCGCGCGGGCGGCUCCCGGACUUCAACAGGAGCGCUAGCGUGUGGAUAUAUGGCUGUGCAAAUCCAUGCAAAACUGAUUGUGAUACUGUGUUUCUUCUGCGGCCCUACCUUCUCACGAAUCUCCAGUCUUCACACGAAUCUCCAGUCUUCGCACCCAUUCAUUCAUGGGUGGGGAUUUGUUGCACUGCUUGUGUUAUAUAUAAAGUAUUGCACUUGUCCCGGCCUGUGGAAGAAAUGAGGAAUUUAUCAUCUUCUUUUAAUGUUUAAAGGUUGUAAGUUCUGAUACUUGAUCAUUGUAAAAUGACCUGUUUUGCUGUUGUCGGGUGGAUCACGAUGCAAUUUUGAUUAGUAUAAUAGGAGAAAAAUUGCACGGUAUCCAUCUGCGAACCGCAGGACCCUUGUUGACAACAGUCUGUUGGUACUUAAGUAAGAUGUCCUUUCUCUAGUUAACUGCAGUUAAAAAAUGUUCUGAAACACAUCUGGAGUUUUAAAAAUGGUAACAGUUUUUAAAAUAAAAUAUUUGAAAUCAAGAAGGUGUAUUUUCGCAGUUGGGUGAAGGAGCAGAUUGUUACUGAAUGUAAAUGGACAUUUAAAUGUAAAUUUGCAAAAUAAAAGAUAUUUAUAGAUCUGGAAA
ensembl:lncRNA